rnacentral:rRNA from 1 species
AUUGAACGCUGGCGGCAUGCCUUACACAUGCAAGUCGAACGGUAACAGGGAGCUUGCUCCGCUGACGAGUGGCGAACGGGUGAGUAAAGUAUCGGAACGUACCUUUCAGUGGGGGAUAACUGUCCGAAAGGACAGCUAAUACCGCAUAUUCUGUGAGCAGGAAAGCAGGGGAUCGCAAGACCUUGCGCUGAUUGAGCGGCCGAUAUCAGAUUAGCUAGUUGGUGAGGUAAAGGCUCACCAAGGCGACGAUCUGUAGCGGGUCUGAGAGGAUGAUCCGCCACACUGGAACUGAGACACGGUCCAGACUCCUACGGGAGGCUG